CCUGCCUGUUACCUGCCAAGCUCUCCAAAUCUGACGCUUGAACCUGCCCUCUCUCCUGCCCUGGUAACUUGACCUGCAUUGUGUUUUGGAACCUUGACUUCUGCCUAGCCCUUAUAGAGGCAAAGCAGACCAGCAUUAUGAAGUUAUUUUAAAGAAUGCCAACCUUCACCAGUGAUUUACAUGUGCUUGAGCUGCCUGACCACAAUGAGCAUUGAAAUGGGCUCAUUAGUUUAACAUUAACAGGACUUCCACCUCAGACGGGUAAUCCAAUCAUCAUGCAGAGCAUCCGGACCAGCUGAGACCCGCCCACAGCCUAUAGACCCCCAGAAACGCUGAGUGUCCGAUGGGCAGGAUAAACCCAGCCUUUAGCCAAGGACUUGUCUCGUUUCACUGUAGUGAAACUAUGCACUCUCAACUCUGGAGACCCACAGCAUCCACACUGUUUAAGGGACUGUGAAGCUGCGCACAUGAAUGAGAAGCAAGUCACAUCGUAAUGAGUGAUAAGAAGCUAAUUCUGACCAAAAGUUGAGCGAUUUUGUAGCGCAUAUUUAGUCAAUGACAUUUACGCACAACAGUGUACAUUUGACAUUUUUGGGGAAGCUUAGCAUCCCUUGUCGUCUUAGAACAAUUGCAACUGGUGUUGCCAUUUCAUUAACAUAA